AAAAGUUCUGGAGCAAUGAGGCCCACAUGGGGAAUACCAGCCUAGUCUCGGAGAGUUAGAGAACUUCCCAGAAGGGAGGAAGCCGAAGGUGAUACUGAAGAACUGGAGUUUUGAUCCUCCCCUUCUGGUGUUAAAAGAAAGACCUACCCUACCAAGGUUCAUGGCUGUGCUCUCAAAAAGACCAGCAGAAGAAAAUGAUGAAAGUAUAAGUUAAUAAGGCUCUGCUGGCCCCUCUCCUUGGCUCCCAGGAUGCAGUCUUGCAGGUUAAUGCUUCCAAUUGAGCAACUUCAAAAUGGCUGUGAAUCCGAGGAGGACAGAGAAAGAUCUGCGUCUCUCCCAGCUUCCUCGGACUGUUCCGUAGGCACCGAGACGAACCGAAUGGAACCGGAGCGAUUGCAUAGGCGUCCAGCAAGAGGCUGAUGAGGACACCAAAUAAUGGAAACAGCCGAUUUUGUUGGGAUGGUGGAAUUUCUGGGAGAUGGCUCGUUCUUCUUUAGUUCUUUGUUUUUUAAAAUUUCUGUUAGUCUUCCAUUUUCAUCUGUG
rnacentral:lncRNA from 10 species